rnacentral:tRNA from 1 species
AUUUAAAUAGCUUAUAUAGAGCAUAAUAUUGAAGAUAUUAUUGAGAUUAAAUUAAAUCUUUAAGUA